rnacentral:rRNA from 1 species
GGUGACCUCCUGGGAAGUCCUCGUGUUGCACCCCUC